ensembl:lncRNA
AACAGGGUGGAAAGGGAUUUUUAUUAUUUAUUUUAAUUAAAGGUUAUCGCAAACUAGAAAUGACGCAGCAGCUUCUGGUUGGUUGAAGCGGAAGAGCCCUAGCGAAAGAGAAAGUUGCCUGCAUGCCAUGAGCUGAAUCCCAUCUGAUGUAGACGUUCAAGCGACGUGUCUGGAGAAGUUGGACUGGAGUGUGAACCCGCUGGGUGACGGACCCUGUCCUGCCUGCUGUCAGCCUGCCCCCUAAUGGCCAGCUUCCCCCUGCUGGCCUGCAUCUUCAAACCCUGCUGCUUGUAGCUACACAGCCUCCUACGGGCCAGCGCCUUCGCAGGAAUAAAGCAACACCGCCUCUUACUGGCCAGCACACUGGCAGGAACAGGGCACCUGAAGUUGGUGAAUCUGUCCCAUAAUGCCCUGUGCUCUAUGGGCUUUGAGCUGGUCCUGAAGACUCUGCCUCUCCAAUGUCUCACUCAACUCGAUCUGUCUGCCAUCCGCUGUGGAACCGCUGACCACCCUCCUUCAAAACAUCUGACGAUGACUGCUCCCUGACCCACCUGAGUCUUGCAGGAAAUCAACUGAUGGACGGCAGAGUGGCCACCCUCGCCAGGUGUUGGCCUGUCUGUCUCUCCGUGGUGUAUGUGGACCUGUGAGAGAAACAGGCAGGGACCUCAGCGGGACUCCACAGCCUCCUCUCCACCCAGUGACUUUUGACCUAUCUGAACGUCCAUGCAACCUCCCAACAUUUGCUGAUUGACUGAAGAAAUGGUCAAGCUGAGAAAUGAUUAAAUCGCUUUGAUCUGUCAUGUUCCCCCUAGUCUCUUCCCACAGCCACUGUAUCUCUGACACAACACUGGGGGUGGAGCAUCAUGAGUCUUGCCAGUGAAACAAUGUUCACACCCAACUGGUUGUGAGUUUUAAAUAAACACAGCUUCACA